rnacentral:misc_RNA from 1 species
UGCAUUGCAAACACAUGACUGAAGCAGCCAGAGCACCCAAUGUCUAACAGGCCAAAGCCGACAACACUUCACUCUUCUAGUCACUUUAGCCGAACUGCACGUGCAUUCCCUAAUGCCAUUAAUUCAUUUGACUUUGUGUGGUUGUGCUUCCCUCUCUGUUGGGCUACAGUGGACAAAGCUUUCAGGGAACGGAACAAAAGAGCAUCUGAUCAUAAUGGGAUACAGACAUUCGUUGUAAAUUUUUCAUUUCUAUUGGAUGAGAAUGUUGUGUCAGACAUGCGUUUUGAAUGCAUCACAUUGCUUGAAAUUAAUUUCAUUCACUUUCAUCGUAGUCUGAAAAUCAUGGAUAUGUGUUGUUUGAAAGGGAAGAUAGUUAUGUAAUUUGGUCGUAAAGGGAUCAUGCAGAACAAGCAUUAAAAAGCUUCAAUCAUAGGGCCAUUAAAAUGCUUUCCUUUAGUUCUAGAUUACACUAGCUAAAUUGGGGUAUUGUACCAGAUAAUUUUAAUAAUGAUGUUAUAAACUAUACAUGUAUUUCUGAAACAGAAAUUCACUGAAUCUCAAAGUAUUCAUUUCAUGGUUACAUUUGUAAAUAUACGGUAAUCAUUCAAGUAAGGAAAUGCAUGUUUAACUUAUUAGUUAUGCUAGUUAAGAUUGUACUUUCAUGCAUGUUAACAUUUCUAGUUACCUAUGGGAUACCAAAGUGCUUUCAAAGAAAAACCUAUUUUUGCUAAUUUUUUUGGUAACGAAGAAUGGCCUGUCUUAGACAUUUGAUUGAAUGUGUAUAAAAUGAAAAGUUUGUACGAGUGGUUAAAAUUUUGUGUGCAUACAUGUAUUUCUUUUAUUUAAUUUUUUUUUUUGAAGAAUUAAAAUUGUUGACUUUAUCUU